CGAAGGAACACAUCCGUCUCCUCCGCCGCCUCCCAUUUCCCCAAGAACCUCUCGUCUUUUACCCAUUAAUCAGACGGUCCGGAUUUCUCCUUUCGUGGACCAAUCCAUUAAUCUCUCCAUCCCUCUCUUCCCCUCGCCGCUCUCCCUCUGCCCGCUCCAAGAAAAAAGCCGAAGCCGGAAGAAAGAUAGCAAGAAAGCGAUUAAAGGCUUCUUCCCCGCCGCUGUCGCUCUCCAUCUGCGGUCACUCUCGUUCUUUAAGCGAAUCGAAUCACCCUUUUAGCCCGCCAUCGGCCCUCCAAGAUUCCCAUAAAUAACUCCGCCGUGUCUUCUUUCUUCUUCUCGAGCGGAGAUCGGAACCUGUGAUGGCGGGAUUCCAAGAAGCAUCGUUGAACCCUAGAGACUGAAGAAACCCUAGAUCUCGAUUGGUUUACUCUUUGUUGCUGCUCCCAUUGGAUCGGAGAACGGGGCCAUGGAGAGCGUCGCGAGCUCGAGACUCGUGGCGGCGUGCGUGCUGGGGGGCCUGGUGCUCGGGGCCGCCGUGCUGGCGGGGAAACUGAGCCGGGGGUUGCCGGUGCUGCCGCCGCUGGGGAUCCGUCGGAGGAAGAAGAAGCCCGUCCGGGUGUACAUGGACGGGUGCUUCGACAUGAUGCACUACGGCCACUGCAACGCGCUGCGCCAGGCGCGAGCCCUCGGCGAUGAGCUCGUCGUCGGGGUCGUGAGCGACGACGAGAUCACGGCCAACAAGGGGCCACCGGUCACGCCCCUCCACGAGAGGAUGAUAAUGGUAGGUGCUGUGAAAUGGGUGGAUGAGGUCAUUCCAAAUGCUCCUUAUGCUAUCACAGAAGAGUUCAUGAACAAGCUGUUUACUGAGUAUAAUAUAGAUUACAUUAUCCAUGGGGAUGAUCCUUGCCUACUGCCAGAUGGUACUGACGCAUAUGCCCUUGCUAAGAAGGCUGGUCGUUAUAAGCAGAUCAAAAGAACCGAAGGAGUGUCAAGCACAGAUAUUGUUGGUCGUAUGCUUCUUUGUGUGAGGGAGAGAUCAAUUUGUGAUAGUCAUAAUCAUUCUUCUUUACAAAGGCAGUUCAGCCAUGGACAUGGCCAGAAAAUUGAUGAUGGUGGAUCUAGUAGUGGAACUCGGAUAUAUCAUUUCUUGCCAACAUCUCGGCGAAUAGUGCAAUUUUCGAAUGGGAAGGGGCCUGGUCCGGAUGCUCGCAUAGUUUACAUUGAUGGUGCAUUUGAUCUGUUUCAUGCAGGACAUGUCGAGAUACUGCGGAUUGCUCGAGGACUUGGAGAUUUCUUGCUUGUGGGGAUUCAUACUGAUCAGACAAUCAGUUCUACUCGAGGAGCCCAUCGGCCGAUCAUGAAUCUUCAUGAAAGAAGCUUGAGUGUUUUGGCCUGUCGUUAUGUAGAUGAAGUGAUUAUUGGUGCCCCUUGGCAAGUUUCAAAAGACAUGCUCAAGCAGUUUUUUGUGAGCUUCAUUUCUUUUUAAUUUUCAUUGAGAUUAUGCUGCAUACCUUCUUGAGAUUACUACCUUCAACAUCUCGAUGGUUGUCCAUGGAACAAUUGCAGAAAAUAUGGAUUUUCUGAAGGAGAAAUCUAAUCCAUAUGCUGUUCCAAUGGCUAUGGGCAUCUAUCUGCAAAUAGAAAGCCCCCUCGACAUCACAACUAGCACGAUCAUCAGGAGGAUUGUUUCAAAUCAUGAAGCGUAUCAGAAAAGGAAUGAGAAGAAGGAAGCUAGUGAAAGGAGGUACUAUGAGGGUAAAACUUACGUAUCUGGAGAUUAACUCCCAGGAAAUUUGGCAGCAGAAAUUCCUUUUGAAAACCUUUCAUUUCUAACACACAUAGGUUUCAAACAUCAUGCCAUCAUGGAGUGGUGGAAAUUUUGCAUUGGUUUGACUUUCUUAAAGUCUAUAGGCAUUUAGAUAUAGCUUAGAUAAUAGGCGGGCAGACUGCUGCUAGCGUUGGAGUAAUAGGAUUUCUUGGGCUCUUCUUUUCUUUUGCUUCCACAAUUUUUUUCGUCUUCCUAUUGUACCGUGCUAUUUCCAGCACAGAGCCAUUUGUAUUAUUAGAUAGCGGAGACUGUAUUUAUUUUCCUACUUCAAUGUGAUCAUCUUAUAAUCUUCAUAUA